GUUUCGCGGUCAAAGGCAUCCUCCUCCCAGCCAAUGACCGUGAUCCUCUGCGGGUUUCCGCAGACCUCAAAAAGCGCUUGCCGGAUCCUCCUCCCACCGGCAGGCGUUUUUU
rnacentral:sRNA from 16 species